rnacentral:rRNA from 1 species
GAUGAACGCUGGCGGCGUGCUUAAUACAUGCAAGUCGAGCGAACAGACGAUGAGCUUGUUGCUCUGACGUUUGCGGCGGGCGGGUGUGUCACACGUGUAUAACCUACUUAUCUGACUGGUAUAAUUUCGGGAAACCGGCUAUAAUACCGGAUAAUAUAUUGAUGCGCAUGGUUCAUUAGUGAAUGUCGGUUUUUCUGUCUCUUCUAGCUGGUUCCGCGCCGCAUUAGCUAGUUGGUAAGGUAACGGCUUACCAAGGCAACGAUGCGUAGCCGAAGUGAGGGGGGGAUCGGCGGCAAGGGAAGUUGGACACGGUCCAGACGCCUACGGGAGGCAGCAGUAGGGAAUCGUACGCAAUGGGCGAAAGCCUGACGGAGCAACGCCGCGUGAGUUAUGGAAGUGUUCCGAUCGUAAUACUGGGUUAUUAGGUAAGAACAAAUGUGGAAGUAGCCAAACACGUCUUGACGGUACCUAAUCAGAAAGCCCCGGCUAACUACGUG